GGGCAUAUGGCGGAACUGGUAGACGCGCUAGUUUCAGGUACUAGUGGGGCGACCCUUGGAAGUUCGAGUCUUCUUAUGCCCACCA
rnacentral:tRNA from 1 species